GGGAUAUGAUGAGUGGUUGGAUCUCACAAAUUAUGUGAGUUGAGUGUCGGCCUAAAGCCUGGUUACGACAAUUGGCACUCUCCCAAAUUUAAUCUGAUCCC